rnacentral:rRNA from 1 species
UACGUAGGGCGCGAGCGUUGUCCGGAAUUAUUGGGCGUAAAGAGCUCGUAGGCGGCCUGUCGCGUCGGUUGUGAAAGCCCGGGGCUCAACCCCGGGUCUGCAGUCGAUACGGGCAGGCUAGAGUUCGGUAGGGGAGAUCGGAAUUCCUGGUGUAGCGGUGAAAUGCGCAGAUAUCAGGAGGAACACCGGUGGCGAAGGCGGGUCUCUGGGCCGAUACUGACGCUGAGGAGCGAAAGCGUGGGGAGCGAACAGG